rnacentral:lncRNA from 1 species
AAAGACUGUUGAUGGCCUAUCAACUACAAAAAAUAUUCCGAUCAAACUGCCCUGCAUCCAUUUACAAUCCUUCAAGUUGCUUGGAAAUCUUUAUAAAAUUGAACAUGUUGUGUUUGAUCCUCAAAAGUGAAUCCGAGUAAUAUUGAUUGAUUCUUUCUUAUUUUGCAAUAGUUGUCGAAGUUGGUAAGAUAGUUUAGCAGAUUCUGUAGUUCAACUUCAAUUCAAUCUAACACGUGUGUUCAUUGUGAAUAAAUAGGC